CCCUUAGAUGUUCUGGGCCGCACGCGCGCUACACUGAUGCAUUCAACGAGCCUAUCCUUGACCGACAGGUCCGGGUAAUCUUUGAAUCUGCAUCGUGACGGGGAUAGAUUAUUGCAAUUAUUAAUCUUCAACGAGGAAUGCCUAGUAGGCGCAAGUCAUCAGCUUGCGUCGAUUACGUCCCUGCCCUUUGUACACACCGCCCGUCGCUCCUACCGAUUGGGUGUGCUGGUGAAAUGUUCGGAUCGGCCGUUUGUCGCUGUUUCCGCGUCAUGUGGCUGAGAAGUUCAUUAAACCCUCCCACCUAGAGGAAGGAGAAGUCGUAACA
rnacentral:rRNA from 1 species